rnacentral:lncRNA from 1 species
UUCUGGCUCCUCCUCCUUCAGCUCCCCAACACGGCUAUAGGUGAGCUUACUCACUGCCUGCUCACCCCUCUGUGACUGACUCCCAGGCCCUACUGUGUUCUGAGCACCCUUCGGGGUUCCAGGGCCAUUGCCGUGAGCAACACUUGCACAGCUGCUCGGGCAGAUCUGCUGGGCUUGGUGCAAGGUUAAGCCUGAAACCCUCUCCCCAGGCCAUUGGCUCUUCACGCCAACCAUUAACAAGCAACAGAACAUGCCCCGUGGCAGAGCCAGACUCCAGCCCCACCUGUGCCUGGCAUCCUUUCUACCCCUCACUAGCCAUUGAGCAUGUCACUUAAUGUCACCCACCUGCAUUUCUUUAUCUGUAAACCAGGACCCUAUCUUAUGGGUUGUGGGGAGAGUAGUGAUAUAAUGAACGAGUCCCUUCUGCAGCACGGAUUGGCACUUGAUCAGCUUUACAGGUUAGUAAGGAAAGUCACAGAGGCCACAACUGGCCCCUACCUAUUCUUCUGCUGAAAAGGGGGAAUCCACAAGCACCCCGAGUCUGUGCCUCAUGGGGAGCCCUUGGUCUUGCUUCAGUCUUCUAGCAGGUUGCUCCUAGAGGGCCAGUUUCCUUCUCUACAGUCUGGGCAGGGCCAUGCCAAGCUGUGCCCCCGUCUGCCCUACUGUCUUGAGGCACCUAGACCUGCUCUGAAAGCCUGGGGUGGGGGGUUUCACCGUCUCCACGUCAACGUGCUGAGAGUCGUGUCUGCCUGGCUCCCACACGAGGCUGUCGGGCUAACUUGUCAGCUUGCCACAGAACCGCUGGCCACCGGACACCUGGGUGGUGAUCCUGCGGUCCUGGCCAGCCGGUCCCCUUGGGCAGGUGGUUGCUUUUGCCGGUUUGCCUCUUAGAAGAAGAAUAGAAGCAGCAGCUAGAACCUGAAGCCCUCUGCUGUUCCAGACGCUCGGCGGAUGCUUGAGUUGGGGGUGAAACACUCAAAAAGCCUGGAACAGAAUUUGAGGCUAGUGAGCUGGACUGGAAGGGAGUUAUCUAAACGAGGAGCAUCUCAGCCAAGCCAUAGCCAGGCAUCAGCACGUCUUAAGGAUACUGAGGCAUGGCCCCAAGCCCUUUCUGCUUGCUCUCCAGGGUCACCUCCUGGGGUUCCCAAUAACCUAUCGUGGUGGGUUCCGUCAUGCAAUUUGGAAAACAGUUCAUCCUGGAGAAGUCUCCUAACUACAAAAGGGACAUGGUGGCUUCUUUAACUCAGCUCAAGGGAUUCUAUCCCGCCCUCGAUUUGCACAGAUCAGCACAGGUCCUCCAUCUACUGACCAAGGGCAGGGACAUGGCCCUUCUCUUCCAGAAUCAGCUGUGGGAUGGUCUCACCCAUAGAUUUCUGACCACAUUAGAUACUCAAGAAACCAAGGCAACCCAAGUUUCUCCUGGUGGGUUGGUAGAGGGAUGACAAUUGGUCCCUGUCACAGUCACACAAGGACUUGGAGAAACAUGCAAUUGGGGAGGCAGUCAGAGCUGCCCCAAACUUUUAGGAAAUACGUCUCUGCACGCAAACUAUAUAAAUUUCUAGUGUCCCCGGGGCAGAGAAGAGAAUUCUUAAGAGUGCAUCAUCUCCCCCACGCUCUCACAAUCCUCCUUUGUAUUAAGCCGAAGCUGACGUGGCCCCUCGUCUCUGUCCACAUCUGCACUCUGCCUGGCCCUGCGUCUGCGUGCCCAGCCCCUGGUACCGUGUUCAUUCCUCUAUAGCACAGAAAGAUCCACCGCCAGCCAUCCCAGAACGAGAGCCGGAAGGGGACGGGGACAGCUGGUGAUCGGCUCCCUGAGCCUGCAGUCCAUCCUGGGCUGGUCACUUGUAAGCAGGACAAAGACCCUGCAAGACUAAAAUGCACUGUGAGAGGGCCACCUGUUGCCAUGUGCUGUUAUUUUUGGUGAUCUCUGGGAUUUAAUUUUCUACAUAGUGUAUCUACUCCUGGUAUCUGCACCGUCAACUCUUCAAUAGAUAGUCGUAAUGGUUUAGCUAUGAGGUGUCCCCAAAAGCUCAUACGGGAGACAAUGCAAGGGAGUUAAGAGGUGAAAUGAUUGGGUUAUGAGAGCCUUAACCUAAUCGGCACAUUAAUCUCCUGAUAGGGAUUAGCUGGGUUUAACUAGGAAGGUAGGGUGUGGCUGGAGGAGGUGGAUCACUGGGGUGGCCCUUGGGGCUUAUAUUUGUCCCUGGUGAGUACAGCACUCUCUCUCUCUCUCUGCUUCCUAGUGCCAUGUCCUGAGCUGCUCUCCUUCUCCACACCCUUCCGCCAUCAUGUUCUGUCUCACCUGGACCCAGAGCAAUGGAGCUGGCCACCCAUGGACAGAGACCUCGGAAACCAUGAGCCCCCAAAUAAACUUUUUCUCCAAAAAUCAUUCUCGUCAAGUCUUUUGGUCACAGCAGUGUAAAAGUUGACUGAAACAAGCGUUAAGCAUCAGCUCUAUCACACCGACAUCCAGUGAGGACUUCCCGGGAGAGCGGUGCACAGGUCACUCUAGUAGAAGUAGCUCCCUCUCCAUCUCCUGGUGAGUGGAGCUCCCCAGUCACUUGGCACCAGGCUUCUCCAGGUCCAUGUCUCUGGCACCCUGAGGCUGGCCCUUUGAAAAGCAGAUUUUCAGCAGGAUCUGUGGCUUUCUGCUUGUCCUCGAU